UGAUUUCCAUUUCGAAUAAGAUACAGAGACGAGGAUGCAAGUAAUUAAAACAUGCUCAGAGAUCUCUUUAAGAGACUCAUGAGGAAACAAACAUAUAUAAUAGUAGGUUUAAAAUAACAGAGUGAAGAAACUGAUUCGAAGCAUAGUGAGAGUAGGAGGCACAUGUUUAAGAAAAAACUAGGACUUAAACAAGGUUCAGAAGAGAAAACAGAUAGUAUAGUAUUUAAGAAAGCAUUAGAAGAAACAUGUUUAAAGGGAACUCAAACAAAGGUCUAGUAAAAGGCAAACGAAGAAAUUAAGAAAUUAGUAGGGAAAUAUACAGUAGGAGAACACAAAAUACCAGAAAAGUAUAUCAACGAAACAUAUAGGAGAAACACACCAAGAUGAAUAUGCGAGCAUGGUGUAGAAACACAGUAGAAAGACAAGGCACAUAAGAACAUAUAUUGCAGUAAAACAUAAUAAAUUAGUAGAAGCACAUGCGUGACAAAUAUACACACAGAAAAAAGGAAAAGAAAAGUUAGAGAAACGUUUUGAACUUUUCAAAAACCCUAAAUCAAACAGAAAUAAUUUUUGGAAGAAAAAUUGAAAAAAAAACGUUUAAUAACUCCAGUAGCGCACAUAUAUAUAACAAAUCUAAGAAAAAUCAGAGAAACCUCGAGUAGCUAGGGUUUCAGAAGAACCAUAAAAGUAGAAAGACUUUAAAAAGGUCGAACUUCAUCAGAAAGGUUAGAAAUAGGCUCAAAAUAAUUUGGAUACGCCGGAGCAAGGCCGGAGAGGCCAUGGAACCUUGAAUUCGGCGAAGAUCUGAACCGAACACCAUCGAGGUCAUACCUCGAAACUUUGAACACCAAUAGUUUACGAUCGGAUGCAGGUGAGUAUAGGCUGUCAAUGGCCUGAGAGGCCAUGGAUUCUGGUGAGAUUGAGGUUGAAAAUGGUAGAAGAUGAUUAGAGUUUUCAAGAACCAUCGAGAGAGUUUGAGAGAGGAAAGUGUUUG
rnacentral:lncRNA from 1 species